GAUGAGCGCUGACAGAAUGCUUAACACAUGCAAGUCUACUUGAUUCUACUUCGGUAGUUGAUGGUGGCGGACGGGUGAGUAACGCGUAAAGAAUCUGCCCUUUAGUUUGGGAUAACCUUUGGAAACGAAGGCUAAUACCGGAUAUUAUGGAGACGUCGCAUGGCGACUCCAUGAAAGCUAUAUGCGCUAGAGGAGGACUUUGCGUCCCAUUAGUUAGUUGGUGAGGUAAUAGCUCACCAAGACCGCGAUGGGUAGCCGGCCUGAGAGGGUGAUCGGCCACAAGGGAACUGAGACAUGGUCCUUACUCCUACGGGAGGCAGCAGUGGGGAAUAUUGGACAAUGGGCCACAAGCCUGAUCCAGCAAUUCUGUGUGCACGAUGAAGGUCUUCGGAUUGUAAAGUACUUUCAGUAGGGAAGAAAAAAAUGACGGUACCUACAGAAGAAGCGACGGCUAAAUAUGUGCCAGCAGCCGCCGUAA
rnacentral:rRNA from 1 species